rnacentral:rRNA from 1 species
UACGUAGGUGGCAAGCGUUAUCCGGAUUUAUUGGGCGUAAAGGGAACGCAGGCGGUCUUUUAAGUCUGAUGUGAAAGCCUUCGGCUUAACCGGAGUAGUGCAUUGGAAACUGGGAGACUUGAGUGCAGAAGGGGAGAGUGGGACUCCAUGUGUAGCGGUGAAAUGCGUAGAUAUAUGGAAGAACACCAGUGGCGAAAGCGGCUCUCUGGUCUGUAACUGACGCUGAGGUUCGAAAGCGUGGGUAGCAAACAGG